rnacentral:rRNA from 1 species
GGAGGAAUAUUGGUCAAUGGGCGAGAGCCUGAACCAGCCAAGUGGCGUGCAGGAAGACGGCCCUAUGGGUUGUAAACUUCUUUUAUACGGGAAUAAAGUGCAUCACGUGUGGUGUUUUGUAUGUACCGUAUGAAUAAGGACCGGCUAAUUCCGUGCCAGCAGCCGCGGUAAUACGGAAGGUCCUGGCGUUAUCCGGAUUUAUUGGGUUUUAAAGGGAGCGUAGGCCGGAGAUUAAGCGUGUUGUGAAAUGUAGGAGCUCAACUUCUGCACUGCAGCGCGAACUGGUUUCCUUGAGUACGUAGGAAGUUGGCGGAAUUCGUGGUGUAGCGGUGAAAUGCUUAGAUAUCACGAAGAACUCCGAUUGCGAAGGCAGCUGACUGUAUCGUAACUGACGCUGAAGCUCGAAAGUGUGGGUAUCGAACAGGAUUAGAUACC